rnacentral:lncRNA from 1 species
AUGUCGAUCGUUUCCAGAUCGACAUCUUCUUCUGCAGAAAGUGAACAAAUAAAGGAAAUGCAAGAAGAAAUUAAUGCACUUAAAGAAAAGAAUUCAAAAAUUGAUGAAUUAACACAGGCAAUCAUAUUCUUAACGCAAAGGGACAAGGCGAGGACAAAGGAAAUUGAACUCUUAAUGCAAAUGCAGAAUUUUAGUGGAAGACAGGGAUUGGAAUCACCCGCUGAUGGUAGACGUUCAUCUGAGUCUAGCUACCGUAUUGGAGAUAAUGGAACUUCAGGGGGGACAAAUUAG